rnacentral:tRNA from 2 species
GGCCUGGUGGCGAAAUGGUAUCGCGUCAGAUUUCGGUGCACCGAUUUCUCUCUGAAGAUUGCGGGUUCGAGUCCCGUCUGGGUCG